AUUGAACGCUGGCGGCAUGCCUUACACAUGCAAGUCGAACGGUAACAGGUCUUCGGAUGCUGACGAGUGGCGAACGGGUGAGUAAUACAUCGGAACGUGCCUAGUAGUGGGGGAUAACUACUCGAAAGAGUGGCUAAUACCGCAUGAGAUCUACGGAUGAAAGCAGGGGAUCGCAAGACCUCGCGCGAAUGGAGCGGCCGAUGGCAGAUUAGGUAGUUGGUGGGGUAAAGGCCCACCAAGCCGACGAUCUGUAGCUGGUCUGAGAGGACGACCAGCCACACUGGGACUGAGACACGGCCCAGACUCCUACGGGAGGCAGCAGUGGGGAAUUUUGGACAAUGGGCGCAAGCCUGAUCCAGCAAUGCCGCGUGCAGGAUGAAGGCCUUCGGGUUGUAAACUGCUUUUGUACGGAGCGAAAAGGUCUUCUCUAAUACAGGAGGCCCAUGACGGUACCGUAAGAAUAAGCACCGGCUAACUACGUGCCAGCCGCCGCGGUAAUAC
rnacentral:rRNA from 1 species